rnacentral:rRNA from 1 species
CCGGCGACCGGCGCACGGGUGAGUAACGCGUAUGCAACCUGCCCGUUUCAGCGGGAUAACCCGGAGAAAUCCGGCCUAAUACCGCAUGUGGCCGAGGGGAGGCAUCUUCUUUCGGCCAAAGGAGGCGACUCCGGAGACGGAUGGGCAUGCGUGACAUUAGCUAGUUGGCGGGGUAACGGCCCACCAAGGCAACGAUGUCUAGGGGUUCUGAGAGGAAGGUCCCCCACACUGGUACUGAGACACGGACCAGACUCCUACGGAAGGCAGCAG